CAGAAAUGUUUUCAGCGUUUGACAGCAGUUUAUAAAUAACUCCGGCUACCCUUACAGGAGAAACUGAAACACAGCUGCUGCAUUGUGAAUCCACGCCGGGAAAGAAACGGUGUCCAGUGAAUAAUGAGAAGGCCCCAGAAUGGCUCCUCUAACAAUCCUGCUUCUUCCUUUACUGGAAUCCUUCCUUGUGGGCUCAACAGCGACUCAUGCAUCGAGGGGAGUGGGACUUGGGACUCAAAGGCACAACAGGGCAGAAAGGAGGCCACAACUCACUGCUGGGAACUGGACCAGACGAGUCAACAAUGGCAAAGAAGUCCUGGAAUAUGAGCUUCAAAAUCUCAGUCAAAACUCACCCCUAAGAGAAUCUACCUGAUGAAUCUUAUUCGAUCGUGUCAGCUCUUUAACUACUGGUCAUCCUUUCAGCAUGUACGCAUUUAGAUUUGUUAGUGCCAUUGUCCUGUAACAUCUACCAACUCAGAGUACAUUCAUGGUCAGUAGACUGUGGCUGUUCAGUGGGUUCUUCUCCCCCUGGCGAGUGUGCAAGGCCAGAAUUCACUGUACUACAGUGCAAGGACCUGCUUUUCCAAACGCCCAACCCCAUUCCAGCCCCUCCACAUUCUCGCCCUCUAGGCUUUCCAUGCUGCUGCCUCUGGGAUUUGGGUCCUCAAUGCUUAAUAUGGCCUCUCUCUACUUUUGAGUUUGUUUUUCCUUCUAGCCACAUUUUCCCCUUUCCUCUUUGUUGUGAAGCAUCCACAGACAAUCUCAGGGUAACAAUGCCUUUCCAUGCUUGGCCUCACCCUCAAGAUUUACCAACCACAGCCUGCACUUGGGACAGCCACAUUCCAGUGAGGUCCAGAUAUGGUUAAGAAGAGCUGGGGCUGGCCUGGUGGCGCAGCGGUUAAGUUCACACAUUUCGCUUUGGUGGCCAGGGGUUUGCCGGUUUGGAUCCCGGGUAUGGCCCUACGCACCACCAGUCAAGUCCAUGCUGUGGCAGGUAUCCCCACAUAUAAAGUAGAGGAAGAUGGGCACACAGGUUAGCUCAGGGCCAGUCUUCUUCAGCAAAAAAAGGAUGAUUGGCGGCAGAUGUUAGCUCAGGGCUAAUCUCCCUGAAAAAAAAGAAGAGCUGGUAGUGAGUAGCAUAUUUGUAAGGACAUUUUCUAUUCAACAUGGUUGAAGUAAAGAGAGUUUGGAUAUGUAAAGGGAGAGUGGGAGGGUGGGUACACUCACCUGUUCAUGUUAUGCAACUGUUCCAAAAAAAAAUUCAUUCCUCAAGUGUUCCAAAGGAAUAUAAUCUGGUGGUAUUGAUAUGUAGCUAUAUUAUAAUGUUCUAUGUUCAUUGGUUUGUGUAUUCCAUUUACCUAUUACACUCUUAGCUUCAUCAGGGCAGAGACUGAAUUUUCAUUUCUCUUAUUUCCUUUGCUGAAUAG
rnacentral:lncRNA from 1 species